AAUGCCCAAGUCGAGCAUGCGCAAGUCCAGCCAAAUCUUUGCCAGACACUUUGGCAGACAGUGCCUCAAAAAAAUGUUGCAUAACCGAAGGCGGAAGGUUGAAACUAACUCCCGUGCAAACUUGUUUGGAGUCCAAACGAACAAGGACCUCCUCGCCUGAAUCUAUACUGGGUCGAAUGUAAGAAAUUAGGCUGGACUAGUCAGACCCCAAUGUUGAACCCUAAGAAGACGGAAGAAGGAAUGAAGGAAGGAAGAAAUUUAAUAUGUGAGUGUGUCUAAGUC